rnacentral:rRNA from 1 species
AGCAGUAGCCACGGUAAUACAGAGGGUGCGAGCGUUAAUCGGAUUUACUGGGCGUAAAGCGUGCGUAGGCGGCUUCUUAAGUCGGAUGUGAAAUCCCUGAGCUUAACUUAGGAAUUGCAUUCGAUACUGGGAAGCUAGAGUAUGGGAGAGGAUGGUAGAAUUCCAGGUGUAGCGGUGAAAUGCGUAGAGAUUUGGAGGAAUACCGAUGGCGAAGGCAGCCAUCUGGCCUAAUACUGACGCUGAGGUACGAAAGCAUGGGGAGCAAACAGGAUUAGAUACCCCCGUAGUCCCUGUCUCUUAUAC